rnacentral:rRNA from 1 species
UGACGGUAUUUAACCAGAAAGCCACGGCUAACUACGUGCCAGCAGCCGCGGUAAUACGUAGGUGGCAAGCGUUGUCCGGAUUUAUUGGGCGUAAAGCGAGCGCAGGCGGUUCUUUAAGUCUGAUGUGAAAGCCCCCGGCUCAACCGGGGAGGGUCAUUGGAAACUGGAGAACUUGAGUGCAGAAGAGGAGAGUGGAAUUCCACGUGUAGCGGUGAAAUGCGUAGAUAUGUGGAGGAACACCAGUGGCGAAGGCGACUCUCUGGUCUGUAACUGACGCUGAGGCU